rnacentral:sRNA from 2 species
CCUUAGGGGAGUAGUCUUCUCCUCGCGAGAAAAUUCGUCAACAUACUUGAGCCCUCAAUGGCUUAUGGCGAAUUUGUACCGACCCUGCAGUUCCGGUAU